rnacentral:misc_RNA from 1 species
UUUUUUGAGAACUAAGCCAAAAUUUAUGCCUAAGAUACCCAUAUUUUCCUUUUACUAUUUAGAUGAUGUUGGUAAUAUGGUUAGAGAUGGCUUUGGGGGUUAAAUUUCCCCGCUCUACAAUUGGUACUUAUAUUAGUUAUUGGGCUUGCCUGAUUCAACUGAUCUUAGAUGUGGUUGUCCUAUUCUUGAAACUGCAUAAUUAGGUUUCAUUUUUUUCCUUUUUCUCACAUGGACUCAACUUGAUGGGUUCACUCUUUUUGUGAGCGAAAGAAAUGUCUGUGGACUUCAUUGGGCAUUCAAUUUAAUAAGCUUUUUAUGAUUUUCUGAUUUAAGUGUCGAGUAUUUAGCUGACUGUUGAGUAGUGCCUAAGAUGCUUGUGGCUUGGUCGCCCAUAGUUAUUAAAGGCUCAAG